rnacentral:rRNA from 1 species
GCGGCAGCUUACACAUGCAAGUCGAGCGGAGUGAUGGUGCUUGCACUAUCACUUAGCGGCGGUACGGGUGAGUAAUGCUUAGGAAUCUGCCUAUUAGUGGGGGACAACAUUUCGAAAGGAAUGCUAAUACCGCAUACGUCCUACGGGAGAAAGCAGGGGAUCUUCGGACCUUGCGCUAAUAGAUGAGCCUAAGUCGGAUUAGCUAGUUGGUGGGGUAAAGGCCUACCAAGGCGACGAUCUGUAGCGGGUCUGAGAGGAUGAUCCGCCACACUGGGACUGAGACACGGCCCAGACUCCUACGGGAGGCAGCAGUGGGGAAUAUUGGACAAUGGGCGCAAGCCUGAUCCAGCCAUGCCGCGUGUGUGAAGAAGGCCUUAUGGUUGUAAAGCACUUUAAGCGAGGAGGAGGCUACUGAAGUUAAUACCUUCAGAUAGUGGACGUUACUCGCAGAAUAAGCACCGGCUAACUCUGUGCCAGCAGCCGCGGUAAUACAGAGGGUGCAAGCGUUAAUCGGAUUUACUGGGCGUAAAGCGCGCGUAGGCGGCUAAUUAAGUCAAAUGUGAAAUCCCCGAGCUUAACUUGGGAAUUGCAUUCGAUACUGGUUAGCUAGAGUGUGGGAGAGGAUGGUAGAAUUCCAGGUGUAGCGGUGAAAUGCGUAGAGAUCUGGAGGAAUACCGAUGGCGAAAGGCAGCCAUCUGGCCUAACACUGACGCUGAGGUGCGAAAAGCAUGGGGGGAGCAAACAGGAUUAGAUACCCUGAUAGUCCAUGCCGUAAACGAUGUCUACUAGCCGUUGGGGGGUCCUUUUGAGGCUUUUAGUGGACGCAGCUAACGGCCGAAUAAGUAGAACCGACCUGGGGGAAGUAACGGUCGGCAGUCUUAAAAACUUCAAGUGGAACUUGGACUGGGGG